AGGACGAACGCUGGCGGCGUGCUUAACACAUGCAAGUCGAGCGGAAAGGCCCUUCGGGGUACUCGAGCGGCGAACGGGUGAGUAACACGUGAGUAAUCUGCCCCUAGCUCUGGGAUAGCUCCGGGAAAACCGGGAUUAAUACCAGAUACGACCACUUUAGACAUCUGCUGUGGUGGAAAGAAUUUCGGCUAGGGAUGAGCUCGCGGCCUAUCAGCUUGUUGGUGAGGUAACGGCUCACCAAGGCGACGACGGGUAGCCGGCCUGAGAGGGCGACCGGCCACACUGGGACUGAGACACGGCCCAGACUCCUACGGGAGGCAGCAGUGGGGAAUAUUGCGCAAUGGGCGAAAGCCUGACGCAGCGACGCCGCGUGGGGGAUGAAGGCCUUCGGGUUGUAAACCCCUUUCAGCAGGGACGAAGCGAAAGUGACGGUACCUGCAGAAGAAGCGCCGGCUAACUACGUGCCAGCAGCCGC
rnacentral:rRNA from 1 species